rnacentral:rRNA from 1 species
GGGGAAUAUUGGACAAUGGGCGCAAGCCUGAUCCAGCCAUACCGCGUGGGUGAAGAAGGCCUUCGGGUUGUAAAGCCCUUUUGUUGGGAAAGAAAUCCAGCCGGCUAAUACCUGGUUGGGAUGACGGUACCCAAAGAAUAAGCACCGGCUAACUUCGUGCCAGCAGCCGCGGUAAUACGAAGGGUGCAAGCGUUACUCGGAAUUACUGGGCGUAAAGCGUGCGUAGGUGGUCGUUUAAGUCCGUUGUGAAAGCCCUGGGCUCAACCUGGGAACUGCAGUGGAUACUGGGCGACUAGAGUGUGGUAGAGGGUAGCGGAAUUCCUGGUGUAGCAGUGAAAUGCGUAGAGAUCAGGAGGAACAUCCAUGGCGAAGGCAGCUACCUGGACCAACACUGACAC